CGGACGCUGAGUGGUGGGGGUUUGAGGGCGGAGGGAUGUAAAGGCUAGUGUCGGUAUAGGGAAGUUGGUUAUGCAGAGAUGAAUGUGAAAUGGUUCCAUUUUGAUAGGGGGCGGUAUAGACACAUUCAUGAAACUUUCCUGUUAGAAAAAGCCAUCUCAGAGAAUAGCCCCGGCUUCUCUUCUCGUCACCAAGUCGAACAUGAGGGAGGAGACCGAAAUGAGUCUUAACCAAUAGGAGGAAUUGCUGUUACCAGGCAGAACACGAUCAAGCACUUAUGGGAGUGUUGAAAUGUUGUAUUCAAAUUAAAGUUAUCGAUAAUCA